UCCAAGCGUUAUCCGGAAUCAUUGGGUUUAAAGGGUCCGUAGGCGGUUUUGUAAGUCAGUGGUGAAAGCCCAUCGCUCAACGGUGGAACGGCCAUUGAUACUGCAAGACUUGAAUUAUUAGGAAGUAACUAGAAUAUGUAGUGUAGCGGUGAAAUGCUUAGAGAUUACAUGGAAUACCAAUUGCGAAGGCAGGUUACUACUAAUAUAUUGACGCUGAUGGCCGAAAGCGUGGGGAGCGAACAGG
rnacentral:rRNA from 1 species